CCCCUACAUACGUCGUGCGAAACUCUUUUUCGCAGCUGCCCUUCAAUUAUUUAUUUUAUGUUAUUUUGUCAUCUCUUGCAGAGAGAAGAGGAGGAGGAGAGAAGCAAUUUGUUAUUUUAUUUUAUUUUUUUGUUUAAUCCGAAGUCCAGAGAGGCAUUAUUAUACGGUGGAAUUUUAAUCUCUUUGUGUAUACAGAGCAGAGAGUGACGAGUUGAGAAAGGCGUUCGGUUUUAUCGCAUCGCACGUAUACAGUGAAGUUUAUACGUGCAUCGUGUGUACGUGUGCCACGGACAGCGCGAAGAAUUAAUCCGAAUGGAUGUUUCGCGAACCCAUCCAAGCAGCUACGUCGAGGACGUUCACCCGAUGCUCUUGAACCUUCAGGGUCAAGACACACGCGAUCCGUCCCCCGGGACGUGCGCGUCCAACUGAUAUACGUUUAUCGUUUUAUAUAUAUAUAUAUAUAAGAAAUUAUUUUUUAUUCUUAUUUUAACUCGCAUUCUUUUUAUUUUAAUCUAAUAAUAAAAGUCAGAAGCCACUCGCUCCACUCCACUUUGCCUCAACUCGCUCAUUUUGUAAGUUCGUUAUGAUCGAUAUAGGUACGGUACACAUACCUUGAAAUAUCAUCGGCGAAUAAAUAAAAAUAGCAAGAAUGGAAACCCGGAAAAUCCAAGUUUUGAGAAAUUUUAUUAUUAAAAGUUACCACGGACUCUGAAUUCAAUGGAAUGAAUAUAAGAGCGGAAUCAUUGGGUGAGAUCCUCGUCGCCUGCACGUCAACGAUCACGGCCCUCGAUGUUACGAGGAUGAAACGAAGUCGAGUAAACCGGCGAAGAAUGAUCUAGAAGCUGUUUCAUAAACUACAGUUAGCCAGCGGAGGAGCAUCAUCGGCUCGGCUCGUACACACCGGUGUUAGUCGGAGGGCAUAUAGCUUCGCCGCAUCGCCUCCCGCACCGUUGCUUGAGUUCGUUCAUUCGGUUUACCGAGAGACCCGGGCCAGAGAGGAAAUACCGUAUGACCGGCUCUCGCGGACGCCACGGCACUUCUAGGCUGAGGAGAAAUAAAUCGCGGGUUCGUCGACCUCCGAUGUUUUAAUGUGCGAUCGUCUCGGGCGGACGGUCCCCUCUUUUCUCCCCCCUCCCCGAACGCCCCCUUUCCUCUUUCCUCUUACCCGCCUAGGUAAGUAGGUCGUUGAUUCAGUGAGUCGGUGCGGACCUCUUCGAGUCCCCAUAAAUGCCCGCUGGACUCGCGGGACCCGGCGCCGAGCCUGCCUGCGGUAGUUCUCUCGAUCUAACGGUAUCGUGAGUAAUUGACGACGCUGUAAUAUACUUCCCUCUCUUUCCAUCGGCGAGAACGCUCCUCUCGCACGUUACGUUACGUACGAUCGAAGUGUGUACAUAUAAAACGAAGGUGAACGACAUCCCCGGUGAUACCCAACACCGUAAGAGAUUUACCGAACCCGAACGCGAUGGGAAUUUCUACGAUGACAACUCCACCGAUCGUUAUCCCGUGAAUUACCGGUCGAUGAACUUUGGUGAAGUUACGUCAUGACUCCGGGAUAUUUAUCGUUAUCCCUACCUCGAGGAUCUCGCGGGAAUCACCCCGGAGGUGUGUGCGUGUGCGUGUAUAGGUAUGUAAAAGUUGACCGGCGAUCGGAUCCACGAAAAAAGAGGGAGAGAAGAAAAGACUUGGGUCAUUCACCGGAACGUUUGACGCACACGUACCCGGAUCGCUCGUCGGUGAAAAACUUUGGCGACUUUCGUCCGUUCCUUCGGAAGAUCGGUACGAAUCCGUCGAACGAUUUCAAACGUUUCUUAACGCGGCGAUGGGUUCGCUUUCCAUCGCAACUCCGUCGGAUCGAUUUCAGAUCUGGUGUAAUUAUAAUGGACUGUAAUUAGUGAAAUUCACUCUCACCGAGCCUCGAUACCGAACAGAUGUACGUACGUACGUAUACGUACGCGAACGGCAUUACUCAAUGAUUGAUACAGAAAGUGAACCUGCAGCACUUCGACAUUCUGUACGAGUUCGUAUCUGAAAGUAAACUACGAUGAAAGUUUUAGUAUGUAAAAAAUGUUGCCGGUACACUACAGAUAUAUAUCGUUUCUUCGAUCGGUACAUUCUAUUAUUCGCUCAUAUCCGUCCGUCGGUCCGAAGUUUGAUGCUUGCGAAGAAAAAGACAUGACUCAGGGUCGAACCGAUGAAUCAAUUCUGGAGAGGAGUGAACUCGAACGAAAUGAAUCAUCGAUUACGGAUGCUCCAGUUACCGAUUUUUGGCGCUAAGAAAAGCAGAAGAAAAAGAAAAAAAAAAAAAAAUCUGGUAGCAAUUUCAUCACUUCCAAGGUAUACGGUAACGACGAAUGUAGGUAUAUAUACGUAUAGUUGGGAAGGAAACGAUUCUGAAGAAAGUACGCGCGACAGCGGUGAGGUAGAACUUUAUAAAAGGUUAAUGACUUGUUUACGAGAAAUUAUAAAGACUUUCGACUAAUUGGCGCUAGCGUGCGCUCGCUCGACGUGAUUCUUUAGCAGUCUUACGUAUUUGGUGAAAUUUUUUCACUCGCCAUACCGAACGCGGGAGUGAAGCAAUUACGCGAGUUACAUUCGCAAUAUAUACAUAUAUAUGAAUUACGUUCGAAGCGUGGCGACGGUGGCUCAACACUUUAAUCGUCGAAAAGCUAAGCUGAAUCUAAUAUGAUAAUUCCUUCGCACAAUCACGUAUUAUUUCACGCAAAAGAGGACGAUGGAAUUUUCGGAUCGGCAGCGGUUUUUGUCUCUCUUCUUUUUUUUUUUUUUAUUUCUCUUUUGUCAAGAACCGAGUGUCUAAUUCGGUAGUAGAUGAUCUCACUGACAAUGAGAGAGCUUAACACGUUCAAGUCGCACCGGUCGGUGUCGGAAUCGCACCGGAUUUCGUUCGUUCUAAAAAAUCGUUUCGGCCCGGCCGACGCUCCAGUUUGACAGUUUGUUAAUUGCUUUUCGUUGUUCAAUGUCGCAAACAAUAAGCCGCUGACAAAAAAAAAAACAAAAAAAAACGAAGAUUAAAAGUAAAAUCACGACGACGGUGACGAAACGAACGUCUACUCGUGUACGAAAUUAUUCGAAGAACGCCCGGUCUAAAUAAAAACAGAAAAAAAAAAAAUUAUAGAUAAAACGAAGUCAUACGAGUACCGUAAGCCAACGCGAUUGACGUGCGUAUUGGAAAGAUGGGAUUCGAAGAAGAAUUAGCGGAACAAAAAAAAAAAUAAUAAAAAUAAGUCGAAAACCUGACCGCCGAACAUCUUUGGCAACGCGACUCACAAUUGGAUAGGUUGUUCGCAAAGUCGCUUGAUUUCUAUGGAUAUUCAUCGAGUACUCGUCGACGGCCGAUGGCUCUAUCGUACCUAUCUAACGUCAAGGAUAACAUUGCACGCAUUGACCCGGACAAGGCCUACGCUGAAAGCUCGUAUAUUAUAUACCAUUUACGAGGCGAUAACCUUAUCUCCUUGUCCACAUCACCGAGUCGACUGUGAAUAACGAGAAAACAAUGCGAUUAAUCCAUCUCUGGAUAGGUGACAUUCUGCUAUACGUUCGUCUUGAAUUUGACGUUGUUGCGAAAAAGAAAAAAGGGGAAAAAAAAAAGAAACAAAUCGUCGAAGGUGUUCGGCUCUACGCGAAACAACGAUAACCGAUCUGAUCGUCAAAGAUAACGUUGCGUUCGACGACAAUAAAACGAAAUCAAAUAAAUGAAAGGAAAAAAAAAAAAUAAAAAUAAUGAUGCAUGCAUACAUGUGCGCACCUGUAGAUACGAUUGACAUUGAAAAUUGUAUCUGAAAUGUUUUUGUCGUUUUAAUAUGUACACGUGAAAAAUAUAUUUUUCAAAAUAUGAA